ACAAUCCCAUGUAAUGAACAAGAAUGGGAUAAAGAGUUGGCUUACAAUUGCCACUUCACACAAUACAUUAAUUAAACAUACAUCAUCAGAGUACACGCAUAGUCUGACUACAGACAAAUACAAAUGAAAAGGAAGAUAACCCCAAAUGCUAGAUCCCCGAUCGUCCCAACUAGGCUCCACUACUAAUCAUCAGAAAACGAAACAUAGCAACGACCAAGGUCCUCGUCGAACUCCCACUUGAGCUCGGAUACGUCACCUGCACUGGACAUUAACAAAUUCUCAUCUACUUACGUUCAAACAUAACCCAAAACUGUGUUCACUUCCCGGACUCCGCCGAAAAGAGACCAUCACGGCUACACACGCAGUUGAUGCAUUUUAUUUAAGUCAUGUGUCAAGUUCCCUACAACCGGACAUUAACAAAUUCUCAUCUGACACAUAACCGCGGGCACGGCUUUCGAAAGUUUAUACCCUGCAGGGGUGUCCCAACUUAGCCCAUCACAAGCUCUCACGAUCAACGAAGGAUAUUCAAUCUCCCGGGAAGACCCGAUCAGACUCGGAAUCCCGGUUACAAGACAUUUUGGCAAUGGUAAAAAAGACCAGCAAACCACCCGAAUGUGCCGACAAAUCCCGAUAGGAGCUGCACAUAUCUCGUUCUCAGGGCACACCGGAUGAGACAAGCUACGAGUAAAACCAAACCUCAAGUUCCCCCGAGGUGGCCCCGCAGGCUGCUCGGUUCGGACCAACACUCAGAGGAGCACUGGCCCGGGGGGUAAAUUCAGAUGACCCCCGGGCUCCGGAAACCCAAGGGAAAGGCUUAGGUGAGGCAAAUGUAAAACCAAGGUUGGGCCUUGCUGGAGGAGUUUUAUUCAAAGCGAACUAUAAAGGGGGUCCCAUAACCCCAACCGCGUAAAGAACGCAAAAUCAAGGAACAUAACACCGGUAUGACGGAAACUAGGGCGGCAAGAGUGUAACAAAACACCAGGCAUAAGGCCGAGCCUUCCACCCUUUACCAAGUAUAUAGAUGCAUUAAUUAAAAUAAGAGAUAUUGUGAUAUCCCAACAUAAUCAUGUUCCAACAUGGAGCAAUCGUCAACAUCACCUGCAACUAAUAACGCUAUAAGAGGGGCUGAGCAAAAGCGGUAACAUAACCAAACAAUGGUUUGCUAGGAAGGUGUGUUAGAGGCUUGACAUGGCAAUAUGGGAGGCAUGAUAUGACAAGUAGUAGGUAGCGCGACAUAGCGAUAGAGCGAACAACUAGCAAGGAAAGAUAGAAGUGAUAUCGAGGGUAAUGGUCAUCUUGCCUGAGAUCCCGCGACGAAGAAGAACGAGUCCAAGAAGAAGACAAGCGGGCGUAGUCGAACGAAUCAUCACAACUCCGGAACGAAACCGAAGCUAACGAGAGAAGCAAACCAGAAAGAAGCAAACAACAUGGUAAACAACCAUCACAUAAACAUGGCAUGAUGCAAAAUCAAGUAUGAUGCAUGUCCGGUUUAAUGAGGCAUGGCAUGGCAAAGUGCACAAACAAAACUACAAGUUAACUGGAGCUCAAUAUGCAACGAGUUGCAUAUUGGCGAAGCGCCACGUUCAAUUAUUUAUUUCACUCUUGUUUAUGUACCCAACAAUAUUAAAUGUUGUUAAACAUGGCAAGAGGUAAAACAUAUAUAAACUAUCUAUUUAGGCAAGUUUAAACGAGGCCGGAAAUAACAAACAACAAUUCCAGAAAAUUCCCAUAUGCAUAUUUCAAAGUUGGUAUUGUUCUGACUAAAACACCAUUUUAAUGUUGUUAAACAGGGAAAUAAAGUGCACCAUGUUAAACUAUGCAUUUUUCUACCCCAUUUACAUAUAAAGUUUAUUAAAUUUGGAGCUAUGGUUAUUUAGUUAUGAAAUACAAUAUUUUAACAUGGCAUUUAUGCAAAUUAAAGCAAACAGCAAGUUAAACAUUUUAAACAUGGAUGAAAGUAGCAUAUUAUGAAACUAGAAUGAAUUCUAAACAUUUUACAUGUAUAAAAUAUUUUAAUAUGAUGCACGGUUCAUGAGUUAUUAAAUGCAUGAAUGUUGAGGGUUUUUCUGUAAAACCGACAUUCUCUGGAUUAAUAACUAAAAUCGUCCAGAGGGAAAAAAUUGCAUCGGGCCGAAUCUGACGGAGCCGGGCUGCUCACAUUGGGCCUGCAAGGGCAUGCGGAGCUGGGCCUCGCGGGCGAAGGGAGCUGGGCCUGCGCGGCUGUGACCCAGCCGACGCUCGCGGUCAACGGGGACCGGAUCGAGCUUGACGCGGCAGAGAACGAACAAGACGGCGGCACUGGAAGCAGAGUCUUCGCGGGCGCGUGCUGGGACUUGCAGCGGCGGGCGCGUUCUCCGGCAGCUCAAGGCGAAGGUGACCGGCAGCUGCUCGGUCCAGUGAAGAAGGCGACGGGGAAGGGGAGCAGCGCGGCUACAUGCAGCGGGCGACGGAGCACUUCCUCUGC
rnacentral:lncRNA from 1 species